rnacentral:rRNA from 1 species
CCGCAUAAUAAUAGAGGAUCGCAUGAUUCUUUAAGGAAAGAUGGCCUCUGAAGAUGCUAUCGCAAAAGGAUGGACCCGCGUCUGAUUAGCUAGUUGGAAGGGUAACGGCCUACCAAGGCAACGAUCAGUAUCCGGCCUGAGAGGGUGAACGGCCACAUUGGGACUGAGACACGGCCCAAACUCCUACGGGAGGCAGCAGUGGGGAAUCUUCCGCAAUGGGCGAAAGCCUGACGGAGCAAUGCCGCGUGAGUGAAGAAGGCCUUCGGGUUGUAAAACUCUGUCCUUAUCGAAGAGAGGUAGGUAUGUGAAUAAUGUACCUAUAGGACGGUAGAUAAGGAGGAAGCCCCGGCUAACUACGUGCCAGCAGCCGCGGUAAUACGUAGGGGGCGAGCGUUGUCCGGAAUCACUGGGCGUAAAGGGCGCGUAGGCGGUUUAAUAAGUCAGUGGUGAAAACUGA